GCCUCGGUAGCUCAGUUGGUAGAGCAGCUGACUCUUAAUCAGUUGGUCCUAGGUUCGAGUCCUAGCCGGGGUACCA
rnacentral:tRNA from 1 species